rnacentral:ncRNA from 1 species
GAAAGCCGUGUGCGGGAAAAUCGCAUGCACGGUUUGAUGAGGGUGCGAAGGAAAACAAAGUUUUCCUUCAAUCUACCCUAC